GGGGUACUUGACUUGCUUAUUGCACCACAUGUGUUUUUCUUUGAAACAAACUUGCUUUGGCGGUGGGCCCAGCCUGCCGCCAGAGGUCUAAACUUACAACCAAUUUUUUAUCAACUUGUCACACCAGAUUAUUACUAAUAGUCAAAACUUUCAACAACGGAUCUCUUGGUUCUCGCAUCGAUGAAGAACGCAGCGAAAUGCGAUACGUAAUAUGAAUUGCAGAUAUUCGUGAAUCAUCGAAUCUUUGAACGCACAUUGCGCCCUCUGGUAUUCCGGAGGGCAUGCCUGUUUGAGCGUCGUUUCUCCCUCAAACCGCUGGGUUUGGUGUUGAGCAAUACGACUUGGGUUUGCUUGAAAGACGGUAGUGGUAAGGCGGGAUCGCUUUGACAAUGGCUUAGGUCUAACCAAAAACAUUGCUUGCGGCGGUAACGUCCACCACGUAUAUCUUCAAACUUUGACCUCAAAUCAGGUAGGACUACCCGCUGAACUUAAGCAUAUCAAUAAGGCGGAGGAA
rnacentral:rRNA from 1 species